rnacentral:rRNA from 1 species
UACGUAGGGUGCGAGCGUUGUCCGGAAUUAUUGGGCGUAAAGGGCUCGUAGGCGGUUUGUCGCGUCGGGAGUGAAAACACCGGGCUUAACUCGGUUCUUGCUUUCGAUACGGGCAGACUAGAGGUAUGCAGGGGAGAACGGAAUUCCUGGUGUAGCGGUGAAAUGCGCAGAUAUCAGGAGGAACACCGGUGGCGAAGGCGGUUCUCUGGGCAUUACCUGACGCUGAGGAGCGAAAGUGUGGGGAGCGAACAGG